GCUUAAAUCUUUUGGCCCAGCUCCUACCUCCCGGCAGCCUCGCCAGGCCCAGAACUCUCUCCAGUCAGCCUCUACAGACCAAGCUCAUGACUCACAAUGGCCUAUUGAGGCCCAUACCCUACCUCACAGCAGUCUCCGCAGAUGAGCCUACUGCCUCACAACAGCCUCCACAGGCACAGCUCCAUCGUUACAAUGGCCUCUUUAGACCCAGCUCCUGCCUCCCAGCCUUCUCUCCAGGCCCUGAACUUUCUCCGGUGUCCCUCUGUUGUGCAAGGCUGGAGGGUAGUAGUGCUAUCGCAGCUGACUGCAGCCUCAACCUUCCAGGCUGAAGCGAUCCUCCCAUCUCAACCUCCCACGUGGCUGAGACUACAGGUGCUUGCCUCUAUGCCCACCUAAUAUUUGGUAUUUUUGUAUACGUGGAUUCCAGAGGGGUGACAGCGAAACGUGAGUGGGACCAUCCAGUUUCAGGAAAACAAGCUUAACACACCCACUGAUUCUACAUUAUGAUUCUUCAGGCCCAGCAUCUGCCUCACUGUGGACCCCCCAAGCCAAGCUCCCAACCUUUCAGCAGCUUCUACACACCCAGCUCCCGCCUGCCAGUGGCCUCUUCAGGCCCAUGGGGCUCAUUCCUCACAACAGCCUUUCCAGUCCCAGUUUUUCCCUUCCGGCGGCCUCUCCGGGCUGAGAACCUCCUCAAGUCGGCCUCUCCAGACCCACUUGCACCCUCCAGGCGUCCUCUCCGGGCCAAGCUCCUCUUCCUGGCUGCGUCUCCAGGCCUGACUCCUGCCUCUCAACAACCUCUUUGGACUCAGUGCCUACCCAUCUCCUGGCGUCCUUGGUCGGCCCACAGCUUCAUCAAGCCAAGCUCCCCAGGCCCAGGUCAGGCCUCACGGUGCCCCCUCCACGAUGAGCUCCUGCCCUCCAAUGGCACCUGCAGGCCCCAAAUGGUCUCCGGUCGGUGGGCUCCUCCACGCCAAGCUUGGGCCUCCCGGUGACCUCUGCAGGCCCAAGUUGUCCUGAAGUCGGCAUCUCCCGGCCGUGCCUCCCAGCAAGUAAGCAAGCUCUUUUGGCUCAACUCCUGCCCAGCUCCCAACCGCCUUUGUAGGUCCCGAACUUUCUCCAGCCAAGUUCUUUGGGCCUCAUUCCUGCCGCCCGGUGGCCUGUACGGGCCCAGCAAUGGUUGGAGAACGGCCUCUGCAGGUCCCGCUCUUGCCUCCCAGGGGCCUCUCCAGGCCCAGCUCUUGCCCUCACGGCGGCCACCCGGGGCCAAGUCCCUGCCUGCCUCCCAGCAGCCCUCAUGCGGCCCAGCUCCUCCCUCACGGUGGCCUGUUGAUGCCCAUGCCUCUGGUACCCUGCCCAGAGGCAUGAGCCCCUGCCACACACUGGCUCCUCCUAUGCUGAGAGAGGUCAGCGUGAGCCCUUGCCUCACACCGGCCCCUCCCACGCUGAGAGAGGUCAGCGUGAGCCCCUUGCCUCACACCGGCCCCUCCCACGCUGAGAGAGGUCGGCGUGAGCCCUUGCCUCACACCGGCCCCUCCCACGGUGAGAGAGGUCAGCGUCAGCCCCUUGCCUCACACCGGCCCCUCCCACGCUGAGAGAGGUCGGCGUGAGCCCUUGCCUCACACCGGCCCCUCCCACGGUGAGAGAGGUCAGCGUCAGCCCCUUGCCUCACACCGGCCCCUCCCACGCUGAGAGAGGUCGGCGUGAGCCCUUGCCUCACACCGGCCCCUCCCACGCUGAGAGAGGUCAACGUGAGCCCCUUGCCUCACACCGGCCCCUCCCACGGUGAGAGAGGUCAGUGUGAGCCCUUGCCUCACACCGGCCCCUCCCACGGUGAGAGAGGUCAGCAUCAGCCCCUUGCCUCACACGGGCCCCUCUCACUCUGACAGAGGUCAGCCUGAGCCCUUGUCUCACACCGGCCCCUCCCACGCUGAGAGAGGUCGGCGUGAGCCCUUGCCUCACACGGGCCCCUCUCACUCUGACAGAGGUCAGCCUGAGCCCUUGUCUCACACCGGCCCCUCCCACGCUGAGAGAGGUCAACGUGAGCCCCUUGCCUCACACCGGCCCCUCCCACGCUGAGAGAGGUCAACGUGAGCCCCUUGCCUCACACCGGCCCCUCCCACGCUGAGAGAGGUCAGCGUGAGCCCUUGCCUCACACCGGCCCCUCCCACGCUGAGAGAGGUCGGCAUGAGCCCCUUGCCUCACACGGGCCCCUCUCACUCUGACAGAGGUCAGCCUGAGCCCUUGUCUCACACCGGCCCCUCCCACGCUGAGAGAGGUCAGCCUGAGCCCUUGCCUCACCCCGGCCCCUCCCACGCUGAGAGAGGUCAGCCUGAGCCCUUGCCUCACACCGGCCUCUCCCACGCUGAGAGAGGUCAGCCUGAGCCCUUGCCUCACACCGGCCCCUCCCACGCUGAGAGAGGUCAGCCUGAGCCCUUGCCUCACCCCGGCCCCUCCCACGCUGAGAGAGGUCAGCGUGAGCCCUUGCCUCACACCGGCCCCUCCCACGCUGAGAGAAGUUGGCGUGAGCCCUUGCCUCACACCAGCCCCUCCCACGGUGAGAGAGGUCAGCGUCAGCCCCUUGCCUCACACUGGCCCCUCCCAUGCUGAGAGAGGUCGGCGUGAGCCCUUGCCUCACACCGGCCCCUCCCACGCUGAGAGAGGUCAGCGUGAGCCCCUUGCCUCACACCGGCCCCUCCCACGCUGAGAGAGGUCAGCGUGAGCCCUUGCCUCACACCGGCCCCUCCCACGCUGAGAGAGGUCAGCGUGAGCCCCUUGCCUCACCCUGGCCCCUCCCACGCUGAGAGAGGUCGGCGUGAGCCCUUGCCUCACACCGGCCCCUCCCACGGUGAGAGAGGUCAGCGUGAGCCCCU